GGAGACAACACACCUGCUCGUCUUCGCAGGUGUUUUUCAAUCAGCUGAUGACCGCUGCUUCUUUGAAGAGAAGCUGCACGAGCCGUGGAAAAAAAAAAAGACGUGAAAAAAGUGUCUGCUUAACUACUGAAACUGUUCCGGGAAGAAGGAACUUGUGGCGUUAAUGCACCAACCGCGAUAAAACCUCAAAAAAUGAGGGAACUUUAAAAAACGAAGAGGAAAAAAAAGAAAACUACCGCGGCGUGACGUCAGACGCCGAAAAGGUGGCCGCGUGCAUCAGCUCCUUUUAUAAAAACGCAGCAAGGCGCUUUAGGAUGGCGUGUUCGACUUGGUCCAGAUUGGUGGCCCGUUUAGAAUGGAACAACCUGCUUCCUGUUCACGGAGACCUGGUCGGACCCGCCAUAUACAAAAGCCUGAGGCUGUCAAAAAAAGAUUGAUCUUCAUGAAGAUCAUCAAAUAGUAAGGUGUCAUGAUUUAAUAUUGGGUGGCCUCUGUGUCCCCACUCUUUCUUGGCCGCUGUGCCUACAUCUCUCUGCAUUGUCCAACAUGGCCACGUUCUUUCUAUUCUCCUGCUUUCCAUCUGUCAAAUAGCUGAGGGUUGUACAUGGAGCAUUUGCCACAGGUUGGUUUUGUAUGUUCCUGUCCACUUUAUUGGGUGGUCUGAUCUGGUCCUUGUUUAUAUUUUUGUGGAACUGCUGAGCAAGUGAUUUGAAAGAAUGAGGUGACUGAUGGAGGGUUUGAAAUUCUCUCUCUAAAUGAAUGGGUUGUGUGUGACUGAGAAUCCUGGAUUGAAUAGUUAAGAUGGUCUGAGAAUAUGAUUAUGUUCAGCAGUUCACAUUAAAGUAGAUAUGGUUUCUUGAAGGGCUUAGAUGAUUGAUAAGUUAUAAUGCACUAACAUUUCCUUUUUAGGUCCGUCUACAAAUGGUGAGUCCAUAUUUUUAUUUAUUUCUUCUCUGGGGGCUACCGUCUUGGCCCCCAUGUGUGGUAGGGUUUGCAGAGUAGGGGAAUAAACAAAAGAAACUUGUGUGUUGUUUUUUUUUUUAAAAGUGAAGGUACUUAGGUGUAGGCAACUGACUUGCUAGUCUGGCUGCCCACAGCUAACGAAUCACAUGCAAAGGUAAGAACACGCCUCUGUAUGUAGGCGUUUUCUUGCCUUGCCACUGUGCCCUUAAUCACUUUUUCUUUCCAACUGUUACACAGGCCGCGGGCCAUCGCUCUUCCGGCCGCCGUGUCGAUCUUUCCUGGCCCUCCUCGUGCCUUUCCUCACUUCUAAAAGGGAAAAAAAAUAUUAACUCGAACUGUUUUCUUUAGCACUAAAAUAUAGUGAUGUUGGAGGACCAGAUCUUAAAUGAGGUUUAAAUGGAUGUUGGUGUACAGUUAAAGCUAGAUGGUAGAAAUAAAAUGAAUGUUGUGCCUUGUACACUCUGUCACAAGGCUUAGACUUCUUGGCCGCUGUGCCUUUUUUUUUUUUUUUUCCUUUCCAUCGUGGCCAUUAAUCUACCGUUAGCCCUAGAACGUUAAAAUAGAUCCUGGUGAUCUACAAACACAGUACCUGGCUUUGGAUGGCAGCCCUGCCAUUGUCUUUGUAUGGCCAUACGUCCCUUAAUGCAAGUAGGCCAUGAUCGCUAACUGUGCCCGUGCCUUUGUGGUCUAUUUGUGUUAUUGUACGUCUGGCCUUGCGCGUAUAGUCAUUUAGGCAAACAUGGGUGCCUUCCGCGUCCAUGCACAGUAAGUGAACUAACCUGUACUUUUCUUUUAGCAUCAAUCAAGAGGAGCACCGACAUCCCUGCAUGUCCAUCUUAAUUAGAUUGCGUUUUAGUUUGAGGUAAAAUUUCAAAUGGUAAGUGCAGUUUUUCUUUCUUGCUUGGCCGCUGUGCCAUAACUAUACCUGCUCUGACCUCAAUCUUGAUUCUUCAUGGCCACUGUGUCAUGACUGUACUUGGUGUUUAUGCCAGUCUAUAAUUUCUGAUCUGUUUUUCCUACUAAGGUUUCGUGUGUGUGUGGUAUCCGUCCGUCUGUCCUGUGUGUCUGGUAUCCGUCUGUCUGUCCUGUGUGUCCGGUAUCCGUCUGUCCUGUGUCGAAUUUAGUCACUUUUAUAGUCUCAACUUGAUGAGUUGAACUGAUUUUAAAGUUGAUUGGUCUUGAGGCGUCUGAUUUCUGCAGGAAAUCAUGGUACCUUAUUUUGAAAUGGCUUUAAUUUAAAAAUGUAAUUUUGGUCUUGAAUCUCAGUUAUCAUAGUUGCAACUUGGACUGUUGACAAACGUGGAAGCUGAUGAAUCAUGUAGUAAAUGCAUCAAAGUUUACUGUAGCUUGUUUAAAGUUCUUUCAAAGUGCUGUAAAAAUGCAGUAAUUGAUUAUGAUGAGCUAGACCAGGUCUUCCUUUAUUCUCAACUGGUAAUUGCUUUGAUAAGAUAACUGGUUCCUGAUUUGAUAAUGAAGCUAAACUUUUGAUUUAUAUGCAAGUGUAGUCACAUUAGAUUGUAGGUGUUAUUCAGCCCAUGGAUAAUGUUAUAUAGUUUAAAUCUGGCAUUUGUUGGCACACUUUUGAUAUCCAUUUUAAGUCUUAAACUUUCAGUACUGCCUUUGUAGUCGCUAACUGAAAUCGUGUUCAAUAUUAAUGCUGACUUGUCUCACUCUGCCAAGUUUAUUUCCCUCUAAAGGAGUUGAACCUUUUUGUGUUCAUAGUCUUUUUGCGCGUUAUGUUGGGAGGCCUCCCAGCAGGGGGUUUAUAUCUUCCCCUGCAAAACUAUGCGUUACUCGCCUUAGGGAUGCAGGGCUAUCCUGCAUAGUUUCUUUCAAAAAUGAGAUUGUAGGUUGCAGGAUUAGAGCGCGUUUCUUUUCUUUAGGAGGACACAAACCUGGCAGAGAGACAACUCGGAUUAUUUAAGUGAAAGUUGCGCCAAAUGUUCAAACUUUUUAUCUAUCGAUACGACUUGAAAUAAAACCUUUGUGAGGUGAAUUCGGACAGAAAUCAGACAGAAUUUGGCUUCAUGUUAAAGACUGUUGUGCAAGUACCCUCUUGUAGCAGGAGUGAGCAGCUGCAGCUUUUUAAUUUAUUUUUCGUUAUUUGAUUUGUUUCUUGGAUUGACUUGGUGUCUGGAGCUUUGUGGUUAACAGUGAUCAUGUAAAUGUGUAAACACAAGUGGUCUUUUGCCUCUUAUUUGCGAAGCUGGCAGCUGGUUGAAAUGAUAGGACUUUAUGGCUUGCCCAAAGUGGGAUUUUUGAUAGAGCAUAGGGUUAACACCUCACCAUGCACUAGCUAUUUCAGCGAACAAGUGUCUGUAGACGGUUAUUACCCAUGACUUUCUUUCAAAUUUCACAAUUUAGGCAGCUUGUAGAGUCAUUAGGAAGAUGCUUAAUCCCAAUGUCUUGGUUGGUUGCAUGAGAAACUGCUAUCUCUUAGUUGUGUUGGUGAAGUUCCUCCUCUGAUUUUUGUAGACUUGCCCUAAAGUUUCUCUCCGCUUUAACUCUUGUUGAGCUAUGCAUUAAAUGAUUCCUCCAACUUGUCUACAUAUCAAUUUUUUUCUCCCUGCAGCCUUCCACCACCACUGCUGCUGUUGCAUCUGCUAAAGGUAGCCGUAUCCUGAUUCACUGCGUCUUCAUGUGUUGGGUAAGAAGUGUCAUUAGACUACUAACAAUGUAAACACCUUUUAAAUACUUGAUCUAAUUUACCCAAAUGGUUUGUCAGUUUAGUACAGAAAAUCAUUGUAUUUGACAUUCUUGGGGUCAGUAACUUGACCUCUAAAUGUUUGGGAAACCAUGCAAGAGAUCGCAAGCUCUCUGCAUGACCCAACAGCAUCGAUGUUUGAGUUAUUUAAUUGCUCAAUUUUUUUAAAUCAGUCAAGAUUUUAUGAGCUGGGUCUUCUUCACACAGCAGAGAACAAGGUAAAUUGAGUCGACUCGUAACAUGGUAAGGCAUUUCGUCCUUCCCCUUCUUCUCUGUGUGUGAGGAAAUCUGGCCACGGAUCCUGACUGAGUGGCAUACCGUGGCUGUGCAGUUUCCAAAAUCAGACAAGGAUCCAUCUGAUUUUGUGACUCGGCCUGUCAUGAUAUGCAUGUAUCUUCCUCCGAAACCAUCGAUUGGAAUGGACAGGUUUGUAGUGUAAAUCACAUCACUUGAGAUGGUGAAGCAUUUGUUUAAAUUGUGGUCAAGCAUUUUCAGGUGUCUGCUUUGUCAAUACUCUUGUGCCACAUCUUGCUAAACACACAAGAAGCUCUGAAUUGUGAAACUGCUGCCUCUUGCAGAUGUUACAACAGCAAUGGCUGUUGAAAGGUUGCAGGGAGUGAAAAUGAGAUCUGAGGACAGGAAAGUGGAAUUGAUUUCAUGCUUAGCAAAAUUAGGGUUUCAGCAAAGGACCUUUUUGUGGCGAGGCUACAGAAUCAGAAGGAACGUUUGUCUGGGCAACUGGGAGAGUUACAGUUUUUCAUGGAGCUGACCAAGACAUUGGGGUUAGCAUCAUCCCAAAUGGCUGGCAAAGAUUGCUUGUAACUGUCAGUGUAGGACAGGAAAGGCAGGUAUAGGUUAGGGAGGGCAUCGAUCGGUGAGCUCUGACUGGAUGUGAGGACCUGUCACACUUGACCAGAGAUGAAGGCUGCAGCACAUUCCUGGAUCAGAGGACUCCAUGUUGGACACCACGACCUGGAGAAGUCCCGUCCUGGACGGCUGUGGUGAUGACCUAGCCCAAGAUGAACCGACCCUUCUACGACGAGGACUUCGCCCAAGAUGAACCGACCUUUUCCACGGGAUGUCUUCAGAUGUUGGACCUUGCCAAACUGGUCACAUGCCUCAAUGGCUGCUACGUCACUCUGCCCAACAGGACAUGGUCAACAAGAUUUUUUGAUUUUUUUUUAAAUGGACUUUAUACCCCCCUGUCCCCACUGACCCAAAACCACACAUGACAAAACACUGUACAUGUGAUGCAUCACCACACUAAAAUACAGACACUGCUACUUUCAGCCUGUAAUGUUUGACGUUGAAAACUUGUAUUUAUUGCCUUCUUUAU